GAUGAACGCUGGCGGCGUGCCUAAUACAUGCAAGUCGAGCGAACAGAUGAGGAGCUUGCUCCUCUGACGUUAGCGGCGGACGGGUGAGUAACACGUGGAUAACCUACCUAUAAGACUGGGAUAACUUCGGGAAACCGGAGCUAAUACCGGAUAAUAUAUUGAACCGCAUGGUUCAAUAGUGAAAGACGGUUUUGCUGUCACUUAUAGAUGGAUCCGUGCCGCAUUAGCUAGUUGGUAAGGUAACGGCUUACCAAGGCAACGAUGCGUAGCCGACCUGAGAGGAUGAUCAGCCACACUGGAACUGAGACACGGUCCAGACUCCUACGGGAGGCAGCAGUAGGGAAUCUUCCGCAAUGGGCGAAAGCCUGACGGAGCAACGCCGCGUGAGUGAUGAAGGUCUUCGGAUCGUAAAACUCUGUUAUUAGGGAAGAACAACUGUGUAAGUAACUAUGCACGUCUUGACGGUACCUAAUCAGAAAGCCCCGGCUAACUACGUG
rnacentral:rRNA from 1 species